rnacentral:rRNA from 3 species
UCGGAUUAGCUAGUUGGCGGGGUAAAGGCCCACCAAGGCGACGAUCCGUAGCUGGUCUGAGAGGAUGAUCAGCCACACUGGAACUGAGACACGGUCCAGACUCCUACGGGAGGCAGCAGUGGGGAAUAUUGGACAAUGGGCGCAAGCCUGAUCCAGCCAUACCGCGUGGGUGAAGAAGGCCUUCGGGUUGUAAAGCCCUUUUGUUGGGAAAGAAAAGCAGUCGAUUAAUACUCGGUUGUUCUGACGGUACCCAAAGAAUAAGCACCGGCUAACUUCGUGCCAGCAGCCGCGGUAAUACGAAGGGUGCAAGCGUUACUCGGAAUUACUGGGCGUAAAGCGUGCGUAGGUGGUUGUUUAAGUCUGUUGUGAAAGCCCUGGGCUCAACCUGGGAAUUGCAGUGGAUACUGGGCGACUA